ACGAACGCUGGCGGCGUGCUUAACACAUGCAAGUCGAACGGUGACGCACCUUCGGGUGCUGAUCAGUGGCGAACGGGUGAGUAACACGUGGGCAACCUGCCCCCGACUCUGGGAUAACCCCUCGAAAGAGGAGCUAAUACCGGAUAUCACCUGCCGAGGCAUCUCGGCGGGUCGAAAGUUUUUCGGUCAGGGAUGGGCCCGCGGCCUAUCAGCUAGUUGGUGGGGUAACGGCCUACCAAGGCGACGACGGGUAGCCGGCCUGAGAGGGCGACCGGCCACACUGGGACUGAGACACGGCCCAGACUCCUACGGGAGGCAGCAGUGGGGAAUAUUGCGCAAUGGGCGAAAGCCUGACGCAGCAACGCCGCGUGAGGGAUGACGGCCUUCGGGUUGUAAACCUCUUUCAGCAGGGACGAAGCGAAAGUGACUGUACCUGCAGAAGAAGCGCCGGCUAACUACGUGCCAGCAGCCGCGGUAAUACGUAGGGCGCAAGCGUUGUCCGGAUUUAUUGGGCGUAAAGAGCUCGUAGGCGGUUUGUCGCGUCGGAUGUGAAAACCCGGAACUCAACUCCGGGCCUGCAUUCGAUACGGGCAGACUUGAGUACUGUAGGGGAGACUGGAAUUCCUGGUGUAGCGGUGGAGUGCGCAGAUAUCAGGAGGAACACCGGUGGCGAAGGCGGGUCUCUGGGCAGAAACUGACGCUGAGGAGCGAAAGCGUGGGGAGCGAACAGGAUUAGAUACCCUGGUAGUCCACGCCGUAAACGGUGGGCACUAGGUGUGGGGACCAUUCCACGGUCUCUGCGCCGCAGCUAACGCAUUAAGUGCCCCGCCUGGGGAGUACGGCCGCAAGGCUAAAACUCAAAGGA
rnacentral:rRNA from 1 species